UGGGGCUUCAGGGGAAACAAUAAUUCUCCCGAGACUCGUGGCAAACUCCUGAGAGUGGGCAACGCUGAGUCUUUAUUCUGCGGGAUUCCCCGGAGCGCUGCUCAAACGAGGCUGAAGUAGGGAGCCAAACCGCUGCCUUUCCUGAGGGUUGGCUCCGUGGCUGGCUCAGUGACAGCCUGAAUUGUCCUGUAUCCUGGCAGAGCCCCAGGACUGGAAUCAGAAACGGACCCCUCUGUAGGUAGCAGGAACGAACAAAAACGUUUGCUUUCAACGGAGCUGUCUCCUUCCUUCUCAGCUCAGUGACAGCCUGAAUCGUCCCGUAUCCCUGCAGAGCCCCAGGACUGGAAUCAGCAACGAACCUCUCUGUAGGUAGCAGGAAUGAACACCUACUGUAAAAGGAGCUAAGUGACAGCAAAGCGCCACCAGAGCUGGAGUUGUGGGCUGCUGUGGUUUCCUUCCCAGAUGCUGGAAUAAUUUACAGCACGGAGACCUGGCUCGGGGCUGAUGAGCAUGAAGAUCUGCGUUAGCCGUUUGCAUCAAAAGCUCGGCUUUCCCAUUGAGGAAUCAGCCCCCAGUCUCCUAUGGGACAGGCAGGAACACUCACCCCUAUACUAACGAGGAAGAAAUUAGGAGCUGCUUUUGCACAGGCACAGAGGAGAAUCAGCCAGGGAAGCUCCUCAAUGAGCUGUGGCUGCCACAGACCCAGCUGGGACGG